rnacentral:misc_RNA from 1 species
AAAAAAAAAAAAAAAAAAAAAAAAAAAAUUAGGAAAAAAAAAAAAAAAAAAAAAAAAAAAAAAAAAAAAAAAAAAAAAAAAAAAAAAAAAAAAAAAAAAAAAAAAAAAAAAAAAAAAAAAUAGGGGGGAUAAAAAAAAAAAAAAAAAAAAAAAAAAAAAAAAAAAAAAAAAAAAAAAAAAAAAAAAAAAAAAAAAAAAAAAAAAAAAAAAAAAAAAAAAAAAAAAAAAAA